ACCCGGAGGAAGAGAAAGAAAAUUCGAUUCCCUUAGUAGCGGCGAGCGAAACGGGAAGAGCCCAAACCAACAAGCUUGCUUGUUGGGGUUGUAGGACACUCUAUACGGAGUUACAAAGGACGACAUUAGACGAAUCAUCUGGAAAGAUGAAUCAAAGAAGGUAAUAAUCCUGUAGUCGAAAAUGUUGUCUCUCUUGAGUGGAUCCUGAGUACGACGGAGCACGUGAAAUUCCGUCGGAAUCUGGGAGGACCAUCUCCUAAGGCUAAAUACUCUCUAGUGACCGAUAGUGAACCAGUACCGUGAGGGAAAGGUGAAAAGCACCCCGGAAGGGGAGUGAAAUAGAACCUGAAACCGUGUGCUUACAAGUAGUCAGAGCCCGUUAAUGGGUGAUGGCGUGCCUUUUGUAGAAUGAACCGGCGAGUUACGAUUUGAUGCAAGGUUAAGCAGUAAAUGUGGAGCCGUAGCGAAAGCGAGUCUGAAUAGGGCGUUUAGUAUUUGGUCGUAGACCCGAAACCAGGUGAUCUACCCUUGGUCAGGUUGAAGUUCAGGUAACACUGAAUGGAGGACCGAACCGACUUACGUUGAAAAGUGAGCGGAUGAACUGAGGGUAGCGGAGAAAUUCCAAUCGAACCUGGAGAUAGCUGGUUCUCUCCGAAAUAGCUUUAGGGCUAGCCUCAAGUGAUGAUUAUUGGAGGUAGAGCACUGUUUGGACGAGGGGCCCCUCUCGGGUUACCGAAUUCAGACAAACUCCGAAUGCCAAUUAAUUUAACUUGGGAGUCAGAACAUGGGUGAUAAGGUCCGUGUUCGAAAGGGAAACAGCCCAGACCACCAGCUAAGGUCCCAAAAUAUAUGUUAAGUGGAAAAGGAUGUGGCGUUGCCCAGACAACUAGGAUGUUGGCUUAGAAGCAGCCAUCAUUUAAAGAGUGCGUAAUAGCUCACUAGUCGAGUGACACUGCGCCGAAAAUGUACCGGGGCUAAACAUAUUACCGAAGCUGUGGAUUGUCCUUUGGACAAUGGUAGGAGAGCGUUCUAAGGGCGUUGAAGCAUGAUCGUAAGGACAUGUGGAGCGCUUAGAAGUGAGAAUGCCGGUGUGAGUAGCGAAAGACGGGUGAGAAUCCCGUCCACCGAUUGACUAAGGUUUCCAGAGGAAGGCUCGUCCGCUCUGGGUUAGUCGGGUCCUAAGCUGAGGCCGACAGGCGUAGGCGAUGGAUAACAGGUUGAUAUUCCUGUACCACCUAUAAUCGUUUUAAUCGAUGGGGGGACGCAGUAGGAUAGGCGAAGCGUGCGAUUGGAUUGCACGUCUAAGCAGUAAGGCUGAGUAUUAGGCAAAUCCGGUACUCGUUAAGGCUGAGCUGUGAUGGGGAGAAGACAUUGUGUCUUCGAGUCGUUGAUUUCACACUGCCGAGAAAAGCCUCUAGAUAGAAAAUAGGUGCCCGUACCGCAAACCGACACAGGUAGUCAAGAUGAGAAUUCUAAGGUGAGCGAGCGAACUCUCGUUAAGGAACUCGGCAAAAUGACCCCGUAACUUCGGGAGAAGGGGUGCUCUUUAGGGUUAACGCCCAGAAGAGCCGCAGUGAAUAGGCCCAAGCGACUGUUUAUCAAAAACACAGGUCUCUGCUAAACCGUAAGGUGAUGUAUAGGGGCUGACGCCUGCCCGGUGCUGGAAGGUUAAGAGGAGUGGUUAGCUUCUGCGAAGCUACGAAUCGAAGCCCCAGUAAACGGCGGCCGUAACUAUAACGGUCCUAAGGUAGCGAAAUUCCUUGUCGGGUAAGUUCCGACCCGCACGAAAGGCGUAACGAUUUGGGCACUGUCUCAACGAGAGACUCGGUGAAAUCAUAGUACCUGUGAAGAUGCAGGUUACCCGCGACAGGACGGAAAGACCCCGUGGAGCUUUACUGUAGCCUGAUAUUGAAAUUCGGCACAGCUUGUACAGGAUAGGUAGGAGCCUUUGAAACGUGAGCGCUAGCUUACGUGGAGGCGCUGGUGGGAUACUACCCUAGCUGUGUUGGCUUUCUAACCCGCACUACUUAUCGUGGUGGGAGACAGUGUCAGGCGGGCAGUUUGACUGGGGCGGUCGCCUCCUAAAAGGUAACGGAGGCGCUCAAAGGUUCCCUCAGAAUGGUUGGAAAUCAUUCAUAGAGUGUAAAGGCAUAAGGGA
rnacentral:rRNA from 1 species